rnacentral:rRNA from 1 species
UACGAAGGGGGCUAGCGUUGCUCGGAAUCACUGGGCGUAAAGGGUGCGUAGGCGGGUCUUUAAGUCAGGGGUGAAAUCCUGGAGCUCAACUCCAGAACUGCCUUUGAUACUGAAGAUCUUGAGUUCGGGAGAGGUGAGUGGAACUGCGAGUGUAGAGGUGAAAUUCGUAGAUAUUCGGAAGAACACCAGUGGCGAAGGCGACACACUGGCUCACUAUUGACGCUGAGGCGCGAAAGCGUGGGGAGCAAACAGG